rnacentral:rRNA from 1 species
GCAAGUCGAGGGGCAGCGGGAUUGAAGCUUGCUUCAAUUGCCGGCGACCGGNGCACGGGUGAGUAACGCGUAUCCAACCUUCCGUACACUCAGGGAUAGCCUUUCGAAAGAAAGAUUAAUACCUGAUGGUAUGAUGAGAUUGCAUGAUAGCAUCAUUAAAGAUUUAUCGGUGUACGAUGGGGAUGCGUUCCAUUAGGUAGUAGGCGGGGUAACGGCCCACCUAGCCAACGAUGGAUAGGGGUUCUGAGAGGAAGGUCCCCCACAUUGGAACUGAGACACGGUCCAAACUCCUACGGGAGGCAGCAGUGAGGAAUAUUGGUCAAUGGACGAGAGUCUGAACCAGCCAAGUAGCGUGAAGGAUGAAGGUCUUACGGAUUGUAAACUUCUUUUAUAAGGGAAUAAAACCUCCCACGUGUGGGAGCUUGUAUGUACCUUAUGAAUAAGCAUCGGCUAACUCCGUGCCAGCAGCCGCGGUAAUACGGAGGAUGCGAGCGUUAUCCGGAUUUAUUGGGUUUAAAGGGAGCGCAGACGGGUCGUUAAGUCAGCUGUGAAAGUUUGGGGCUCAACCUUAAAAUUGCAGUUGAUACUGGCGUCCUUGAGUGCGGUUGAGGUGUGCGGAAUUCGUGGUGUAGCGGUGAAAUGCUUAGAUAUCACGAAGAACUCCGAUUGCGAAGGCAGCACACUAAGCCGUAACUGACGUUCAUGCUCGAAAGUGUGGGUAUCAAACAGGAUUAGAUACCCUGGUAGUCCACAC